GAUCUUUUAGUAUAAAGGUAGUACUACUAUCCUUCAAAUAGUGAGUAUCAGUUCAAUUCUGAUAAAGAUCA
rfam:Rhizopogon vinicolor AM-OR11-026 unplaced genomic scaffold K503scaffold_1279, whole genome shotgun sequence.